AACUUUUGACAAUGGAUCACUUGGCUCUGGCAUCGAUGAAGAACGCAGCGAAAUGCGAUACGUAAUGUGAAUUGCAGAAUUCAGCGAACCAUCGAAUCUUUGAACGCACAUUGCGCCCGCCAGUAUUCUGGCGGGCAUGCCUGUCCGAGCGUCAUUUCCCCCCUCACGCGCCCCGUUGCGCGCUGGUGUUGGGGCUCCUCCGCCUGGCGGAGGGCCCUGAAAGCGAGUGGCGGGCCCGGCUGGUUGGCCCCGAGCGCAGUACCGAACGCAAGUUCUUCCCUCGCUCGGGUGCCCCGCCGGCGCCCUGCCGUCAAAACGCGCAUGACGUGCAACUCUUUUUACAAGGUUGACCUCGGAUCAGGUAGGACUACCCGCUGAACUUAAGCAUAUCAAUAAGCGGAGGCU
rnacentral:misc_RNA from 1 species